rnacentral:rRNA from 1 species
AUUGAACGCUGGCGGCAGGCCUAACACAUGCGAGUCGAGCGGAUGAAGGGAGCUUGCUCCUGGAUUCAGCGGCGGACGGGUGAGUAAUGCCUAGGAAUCUGCCUGGUAGUGGGGGAUAACGUCCGGAAACGGGCGCUAAUACCGCAUACGUCCUGAGGGAGAAAGUGGGGGAUCUUCGGACCUCACGCUAUCAGAUGAGCCUAGGUCGGAUUAGCUAGUUGGUGGGGUAAAGGCCUACCAAGGCGACGAUCCGUAACUGGUCUGAGAGGAUGAUCAGUCACACUGGAACUGAGACACGGUCCAGACUCCUACGGGAGGCAGCAGUGGGGAAUAUUGGACAAUGGGCGAAAGCCUGAUCCAGCCAUGCCGCGUGUGUGAAGAAGGUCUUCGGAUUGUAAAGCACUUUAAGUUGGGAGGAAGGGCAGUAAGUUAAUACCUUGCUGUCUUGACGUUACCAACAGAAUAAGCACCGGCUAACUUCGUG